UCCCUCAGUCCCACGGCAAGCCACCUUCCAUCCAAAGACACACCACUUCUUCCAUGUCAAAAACACAAAUUCCUCCAUCAAAAGAUUCAAAACCCACCAUACCCACAAUCCAAUAAAUAUCUCCUUCCUUAGACCCACGGCAAAACCCACCUUCCAUCCAAAGAACACCACUUCUACCACCAAAAACACAGAUUUCUCAAUCAUUAGACCCACGGCAAAACCCACCUUCCAUCCAAAGAACACUACUUCUGCCACCAAAAACACAGAUUUCUCAAUCAAAACCACCAUACCCACUAUACCCACAAAUCAACAGAGAUUGUUUUUGGCCAAUCCCCUUCUACUCCCUCCAAAAUGCAGACCCACCAACAACCGCAAGCCACAAACCACCAACAUGCAACCUCAACAACCCACAAACGCCGCUGAGAACAACGCACCCCAACCCUCCUGUCGGCGAUACACCAUCACACCCAACCCACCCGUCGAAAUCGGCCCAAAGAGAAGCACCCAACACCCGAGGCAGAACAAUCCCACUUGAAUGGUUGCCUUAGUCCCUACUGUUAAGUGAAUCCUACCACAGGUCCAUCUGUGGCAGAGGGUAUGGCUUCCUUUUCAGUUGUCAUCAUUGGCCACUUGGCGUCAUCAGGACCAAGUCCAUAGAGUUUAGAAGCUAUCUACAAAUUCCAGCAAUAGCAAAGUGCAUAAUUGAAAAGUGUUAUUGUUGCAAACUUAAAACCGCUGGUGUGGUUGCACAUUUUGGAUAGAACAGUAUUACUCCAAAAGCAUUACCAACUUCAUUCAAAAUACAAAUCAGCAAACAUUAGGUGUAGAGAGAGAAAUCUGAGGGAUUUUUCCAUUGUCAGCCUGUUUCCCUCCGCUUUCUGGCUUCAAGCCACCAUUAUACCUCCAGAAACAUUACCGGUUCUGCAGCUGAAUCUAGGCAUGUACAUUCAUUCAUUUUACAAGUUCUCGAAAAUAACGAUUAGUAUGUGGUGACUUUUUUAGUGGAUUGCAUAAAGGCCAAAGCAUCACAAUUUAGUGUUAGUUGAGUUUGGGUGAAAGAAGAAGUUAAAACUUGCAUUCAAUCAUACACAACUCCUUAGUGAUUCUUUGUUUUGUAAAAUAAAUAAUUGCCUUAUUAUGCCUAAGUUUAUUGAUAUGUGUAACACUUAUAUUCUUUAAUUGGCUUAUUCUACAUUAUCAGUUCUCUUU